rnacentral:misc_RNA from 1 species
UUAAGUUCAGCGGGUAUCCCUACCUGAUCCGAGGUCAACCUGAAUAAAAGUGUGGUUGAUCGGCAGGCGCCGGCCGGGCCUACAGAGCGGGUGACAAAGCCCCAUACGCUCGAGGACCGGACGCGGUGCCGCCGCUGCCUUUCAGGCCCGUCCCCCGCGAGCGGAGGACGGGGCCUAACACACAAGCCGUGCUUGAGGGC